rnacentral:lncRNA from 1 species
AUGGGGAGUCUUGGUAUUAGCAUUGCUGGUGGAAAGGGCUCAUCUCCAUAUAAAGACAAUGAUGAGGGAAUUUUGAUUACACGGCUACCGAAAGAUUGUCCAGCAGAUGUGGCUGGGAUGCAAGCAGGAGAAAGAGCAGCAGAGGGAUCCCUCAUUUCAGAACCCAGCACCCACAAUGCUGGUCCUACUGAAGCUUCAUCUAAAGGCAACCCCUUCCAGACGUUAAACCAUGUCAUAACAAUACCUCGAAUAAUCCUCACACGCCCUUCGACCUCUGAUGAAGAUACUGACCAGCUGCCCCCAGAUCCAGAUGACUUUGAGAUGGAGGAUCCCGAUGGCACAGAACGCCGCGCCUACUCAGACUGUCUGAACAGCGCUUUUUAUCCUCCCUAA